GAAGACUUUGACUUUAACGCUGCAUGACUGGAGUGGGCUUCCAAGAUGAACAGAUGCAUUACAAUAUUGUAACAGAGUCUGCAUAAUUUCAUUAUACAGUGGACAGCUUGUAAGAUUGAACACAGUUUUGCUUAUUACUCUCUAACGUAGCAGCAACCUUAGGGUAUAUAUUCAGUCACUAUUUGAAGCAAUGAUUACGAAUAAAUAGUAUGUCAUUGUGUUUAUGCAUUCAAUUGUGUCACAGUGUGUAUCUAGCAAGCGUGCACUGCUACUUAGUAGACUAGUUAACAGGUUUGUCAAUGCAUGGUUGCAAGUCACAGCAAUAUCUUGACUUCAACAGCCGUCCAUGCUAAAUUCGUACUCUUCCAACGAAUGGGUUACUGAUAGCUGACAGCCUGUAAACAACAACUAGUAUAGACGAUUUCAGCAGCAAGUCUAAUAUAAUGAUAAUAGAUUAGUAUUGCAAUUGGGACUUUGUCGUGACGUCAUUGGAUGGGCGUGGUCUUAGGGAGGGGCUAGCGCUACGCCUUCCUGAAAUCCAGGGGAGAGCCCUGGUUGAAGAUUCUCUGGAGAAAAUGCUGCAACUGUCACAAAACAAAGGCAAUAACCCCACAAAGAGAAGAACAUGAAUCAAAUCAUGAAUAUCCACUCUUUCACGAACUGGGUAUCCCAAUG